rnacentral:sRNA from 1 species
UCAGUACCUGGGAAGCUACAGAGGAAGGUGCUGGAUCUUCUGGAGCUAGAGUUACAGGCAGUUGUGAGUCACCUUAUGAUGGGUGCUGGAAACCAAACUCCGGUUGUCUGCAAGAAGAACAAGUACGUAACCACUGAGCCAUCUCUACUGCCCAGUUUCCGUGAUUUUGGAGUUUAUUUUUUUGGAGGAACAGUCUCAUUAUGCAGGCCAGGAUGACCUUGACCUUGUGAAUCUCCUGCUAUUGCUUCCUGAUCAAUGGAAUUUUAGAAUUGUGCCACUAUGCCCAACUAGCCCAAUCCGUUUUAUUGUAUAAAGAGUACAAGUUGAAGGGUGAGAUGAUACUGGAGACUAGAAAAGGAAAGGAAGAUAAAGCUACACGACCAGAAGCAUCCCACCACUGUCCAGGAAACAGCAGCAUGAGUUAAAAUUGGUGCCCUCAGAUCGGCCUGCUGUGAGGCAGAGAUGAGUCACUGGGCCCCACCCUGGCUUGGAUGGAAUGGCCUGAACACGUCUGCCUUGCUUAACUCAGGAUACAGUCAGCAGCUAACCCACUGAUGACUGCUUCAGCUCCAUGCAUUGCUAAUAUUGAAAAGGUGCCCCAGCAGCAGGUUACAGAAGGCUGAACCCUGGCUUAACAUCACUAUGCAAUUGUAUACUUUCGGCCUACUGUGCAUUGGAUUACUAGGGACAGAUGAAAACCCCCAGCCUGCAACACGGUAAACUCACCAAGGAGAAGCUACCAGCCAAACAACUGGCACAGUGCAAGUCCUCUUGACUUUGAUCCUGGAGUGCAAAGGAUAUAAUUACAUCGUCAAGGUGGGAUUAUCCUGUCCCUGACCCCUACUCUGACCCUAUUCCUACCUCAUGACCCAGCAAGAAGGUGUGGCAUUUUCUGCUUCUGACUCACAGCUUCCCCAAUCCUGGUUACCAGGUCAGGGGCCCGACGUGAAAGACUCCAUCAUCUGACUUUCCUUGUUGCUAGACAGAGCCGAGUGACCUGAGAGUCCUCUCCUCCAGAUCUCACAACUCACAAGGUAGAUGUGUUUAUCAGCUCUGCUUUAUGGAAGUGAAGGGACAGAGCUGUUACCUGACUAGAUCUGACUCCAUUUGAAAUCGUGCUCUUGUGAGGGCCACUGCAAGGUCCCCUUCAUGGCCAGUGUCCCUGUAGUGGCUCCUUAGUUCCUUCCUAUAUCCUGCCUCCCAUGUCUGGAAGCAAACAAGUCAUUUUCCAGGUAGAUGCAAACAGGUGGUUUGCUGGCUUGUAGCUGAGUUAUGGGUUUGAGACAGGGCAAGAGUAGCCUUGGGGGGUUAUCAUUGAUUGUCCAGCUAUACAGGGGACAUAAGUGUGUUGACUGUGGCCCAGUUCCAUGGAUCGAUUUCAUCUCCCUGGGGUGGGUCAGAGCUCUGAUACCUCACUCACUCAUGGCCUCAAGUCCCACCAUACCACAGAAAGCCAAGCCUGGGAAUGCCAAAAGGCUAGAAAUUGGACAUGGUUCUCAGAUGAUGAUGUGUGCACUCCCUUGCUACUGGCAAAUCUCGUCCUUAUCUUUCGAUUUUUAUUUUUUGAGAUAGGGUCUCAUGUAUUCAAGGCUAGCCUGAAACUCCCAAGGUAGCACAUUGAAUUUCUGGUCUUCCGGCCUCUCUUCCUGAGUGCUGGAACUCCAGAGCACCACACCACACUCGGUUCCUCUAUCUCAUCUUCUUUGAGCCCGGGAAGAACAAAACAUUUGAAAAAUGGAACAAAAAAUUAUAUGAAAAUAAUUUAUGAUUCAUAUAAACUGACAGAGUACAGUGAACCUAUGUUGAACCUGUUUCUAAACAGCUCAGGAAAACACGUCACUCGAAGGCUCUGAAGGAUGCUGUGUCUUUAGCUCUCCUCCUCCUCUCAUGGCGGAGCAGCUCAGAUCCCAGCCUCCUCUCCCCAGCAUUGGUGUAGUAUCCAGAAUCCCAGCCCAAUCCCCAGGCCACCGAAUUCCCAGGAUGGCUGGAGCUCACCAUCCUGGGGACAGACAGAAUGAAGCCUGGAAACCUCUGUUUUUACAUUUUUAACCUUUAUUGUUAUUUUAUGUGUAUGUGUUUUUCCUGCAUGUAUAUGUGGGUACCACAUGUGGGCCUGUUCCCCUCAGAGGUCGUAAGAUGAUCGAUUCCCUUGGAACUGGAGUUACAAAUGGUCAUGUGUCUCCAUGUGGGUGCUAGGAAGUGAACCCAGGUCUUCUGCAAGAGCACCAACACCAAUGAGCCAUCCUGUCUUUCCUGCCUUGCAUUUAGUGUUACGCCUUGCUUUUUGGGUUUUUCUGGACCCUGACUACUCUGCUCAUAUAUAUUCUUAUCCAUGAGAUUUACAGGGACAUGGCUGAAGAUUCAGUGUGAGCAGAAGGGUCAUGAUUUUGAGGUUAGCCUGGACUACGUAGUGAGUUGGAGGCCAACUGCAAGAGUCAGUUCUCUCUUUUCACUACAUGGACCCCAAGGAUGAAACUCAGGUGACCAGCCUUUAUGCCAAGUACUUUUAUCCACUGACCCACCCUACCUACUGGUCCUCUUUAAAAAUUGACAGAGUCUUACUGCAUAGAGCAGGCUGGCUGUCAAACUCACUAUGUAGCCCAGGCUGACUUAAAACUUACGCACUUCCUAACAAUCCUGGAUGAUGUCACCAGGAAAUUUCCAUCUCUACCAUUGCUGAUAAUGUUCCAAAUCCAGACUGUUGUCCUAGACAGCAAUGUUGUAAAUAUGGACAGUGCAAACCAUUGCAUCUGUACGUCCAGAAAACUGCAAAGGUCCCUCAGCUCCAGGAUACACUAUCUAUCUAUGGAUACAUGGCUUUCUCACUUCCAAGAAAUCAUGCCCUCCUCCUACCCACCAUGCCCUGCCCACCAGCAGAAGGAUACCAUUCUAUUUACUUAUUUACUUAUAUUUUUGAGACAGGGUCUAUUUAGCCCUGGCUGUCUAGAAAAUCUCUAUAUAGACCAGGCUGGCCUCAAACUCACAGACAUCUGCCUGGUUUUGCCUCAUCUACUGAGAUAACAGGCAUGCUCCCAGUUCACUACUUUGCUGUGGCUUUGAAAUGGUUCCUUUUUGUGUCUCUCCCUUCCUCCUCUUUGCUAAGGCAUUGAAAAAAUUCUCCAUCAUAAACAGCUUUAGGAGAAGAUUGGUAUAAUUAACACUUUUGGGGCCAUAGCAAAACUGGAACAUGAGCUUCUGUUCAAAAUAUAAUGAGACUCUCAGGCUGGCCGUAGUGGAGUCAGGUGUUCAAGUGUGGAACUCUGGGGAGAACAGGGCCCUGUUCCCUAUCCCCAGUUACCCUCCUUUACCUCAGGCUGGAGGUGAGGCUCUGAAGCUUUAGGUGCCUUCCCUUUCCAAGUGUCUGUACCCUAAGCCAUCUGUUCUAUCCAUAUUUGAUGUAAGGAAAAACAGGGUUACAGCACCACCAUUGUCUGGCAUCAAAGUAGGCUCACUUUGCUAUAAAAUAUGUUAUAAAACUGAAAUGACAAGUUUUGCAAAAGAGAACAUGUUUGUGUGACUACCAAGCAGAUGGGAUCAGGAAGCCCUACCUCAAUUCUGCCUCCGAGGCUUAGAUGUGACAGUAUUUAUUUACAGGAUAAACAAGGUGAUCAGAGGUCAUUGGAAUGAUGGGUGAUCUGAGCAAGAGAAACCAUACUUCAUGCUUAUGUAUGAGACUCAUGUUCAAGAAGGCAGCAUUAAGGGGGAGUAUGGUGGCCACCACUCAUAGUUCCAGUGCACAGCAGUCUGAGGUAGGAUAAUGGACAUCAAGACCAGCCUAACACUAUAGCAACAGCCUCUCUUAAACAACAACAGUGACAGUGACAACAACAACAGGAGCCAGGGUUGGUGGCAAAUGCCUGUAAUCCUAGCAUUUAGAGAGCAGGGGCAGGGAAAUCAGGAGUUCAAGGCAAGCACCAUCUGCAUGGUGAGUUUGAGGCCACUCCAGGCCAUGUGGGACCCUAUCUCAACAAAGCAAAACUAAUAAUGAAGAAAAAGAAGGGACCAUGGAGAUGGCUGAGGGACUGAGUGCCUGCUGACCUUUAGAAGGAAGUUCAGGAGAUCUGACACACUCCAGCUGUGGGGACCUGAUACCCUCUUCUGGCUUCUUCACACGCCAGGACACAAGUGACAGACACAGAAAUGCACACACACCCAUAAACAAACAAACAAAAAGUGAUAAAACAGCAAGAGAAUGACCCGAGAGGCCAAAGUUGUCCACACACAGAGCUGUUGUCUAUAGUAAAACUGUUAGGGGCGUCUUACACUUCCUGAAGUCCUUGGUGAAAGCAGGCAGUGAGGCAUGCGAGGGCAGAAGGGUCAGGGUCUCCUUCCCUCACAUGCCCAGCGUGGAGGCCUGAAUCUCCCUGCACGGUGUUAAACUGAACUUGUCCUUUAAAAUCCCAAGCCUUGGUGUGGCGGCAAAAGCUUCUGAGAUGAUGCGUGAGAGGGUCAGGAAUUUAAGGUCAGCCUGAGCUAGCCAAUGAAAAGCCAGCUUCACCUACACAAGACUGUUUGGCAUAGAGGAGGGACAGGAUAAAAGGUCCAGAGACAUCAGGGGACUUUGUGUAUGUGGCUGUUUGCUCAUCUGCCCACACGUUGGGGGAAAUGGGAACUGAGUCCCCAGCCUGGUCUACUGAGCUGGAAAAUCCAGCCACCUCACCCCCUCGCACAUCCCUGUACUACCUGUCUUGUCUACAUUCCACUUAGUAUGACAUCCUAUGUGGUUUUUCCAUGUUGCUGCAAAGCCUAUGAAGUCUUCCCUUUACGUUUAAGGCCCCACAUUAGUCCAAGUAACCUCUUCAUACCACUCCCCUGGUUUGAGUAUUUAUGUUCCUCCAACCCCUUUUGGGAAUCACAAGGAAGCCUGCAGGUAACAAGUUAUAUCAGGGUGGUUCAGAGGGAGGGAGGCUGUCUGCAUUUGGCAUCUCCUUGCUCACCUCCAGGUUUCCACCUGGAGGCCCUCAAAGAGCCUGCCGACUCUGUCAGUGAAGAAGGGAGCUAUUGUGUCAGAGGGUGGAGAGUGUGAGUGGGAGAAAACCAGCUCCCUUGGAAUUCACAUACCAUUCAGACUGAGUUAAUCACCUUUAAGCAGUUUAGCCAGAUCUCAUCAAUCUUAAAUAGCUCUGACAGCCAGAAAAAAUUAAGAUCGUCCCAGGAUGCUUACCAGUUUUGAAAAGAUUAUAAACUCUCGAUCACAAAGGGACCAGGUGAAGGAUUCGUAAAUCCCAUUAAGAAUUUUAGCCUUCAAAGCUGUGCGUGGUGUUACAUGCCUGUAAUUCCAGCAGUCAAGGGGGUGGGACAAGAGAAUCAGUCAUUCAAGGCUGUGGUUAUUACACAGCAGCUUCUAGCUAGGCCGGGCUCAAGUAGCAGAAAUAAAAAUUUAAAAGAAGUUAGCCUUUAUCCGAAGGACUAUAAGUAACUGUUGAUUGUACGACUUCAGACUCAUGGCUAUCCUCCUGCCUCAGCCUCUAAGAUAUUUAGGAUUGAAAGUAUGCGGUACUGCACCCAGCUCCCACUUAACGUUUUUAAGAAUGAGGAAUUGUAGCCUGGUUAGAGUCUUUGGAAUCUAGUCAGAUUUGGGUCGGAAGGCACUUGGAUCAAGGGAAGGUAGGGUUGAGGAAGGAAGGUUGCCUUCAUGACACAGGGCCCUACCCGGAUACUGAGCGGAUAGAAUGCAGGCAGGAAUCAGUCUCCAAAUGAUGGGCGAUUCCUUUCUUUUGGACCUGGUGAGUUAGAGAUGGUCUAAGGCAAAGUUCCAGCACAGCUAUGAUUUGGGGAAGGCAAGUCGACGUCUAUGUACUCAUUGCCUAGGGCUGUUGUGGACCGGCAACUUGAUCAUGUAGACCUGGGACCAACUGGUAAAUCCCUUACAGAUCUGGCAAACUGAGUGUUCUGGGAAGCCACAGCAGGAUCCGCAGGAGAAAGGGGGCAGUAGGGAGAUUCCCAAAGGCUGUGAAGAUGACUGCACCAGAAGACUACUGUACUUUAACCAGUAAAAGAUUCCAGACCACCCCAUCUUUCCCUCUGCUUGAAUUCUGAGAAGACUUCAUCAAGUCACAAGACUGGGAGGAGAAAGCAUGUGUGAACGAAUUAACAGAAAUCCGGGCAAGAGUCCCAAAGUAAAAUAAUGUUGAUUCUCAGCACAAAGGGGGCUUUGCUACUUGAUGGUUGAACUCACAGAAGCAGUCAUUGCCUGUUUGUGACAGAUUUACUAUUUUUGAAUCUUUCCAAUUUCAGAAAAGUGACCAUAAUAAGCACCAUUUAAACAGUGGGAGCCCUUGGAGAUGUCUAAACACUGCGCACAGUUCCUGAGCGGCAUUAAGAGGGCGCUUGUCCUUGGAGAUUGGUCUACACAGUUUUGUAGACAGGGAGUGGUGCCAAGAUGACCUUGGGUUAGCCUUAGUUGGCAAUUGGAUCCCGACUUCUUCCUCCUAUGAAGUGGGCAGAGGGGGCCAGCCCACAGUGUCUCGGAAAGAAGAGCGGCUCCGUGGCCUACACCAGUCACUUUGCUCUCCACCUCCUCACCUCUCAGCCUUUCCCAGUCGAGAGUCUCUCAAAUUUUAGGGCUUGCUCGCCAUCCUGGAACUGUGUAAACUGCGCAAGCUGCAGAGUUCUUCCUGAGAAGAGUUCCGUCCUGCAUGAUUGGAAUCAGAUUUCGGCAGCGUCCUUUGGUCGACAACCGGGUGAUUCCUUGUAUCAGGUUGAUUUCACAGUUUCUUUGCUCGUGGGUUUGUUGUCUGCCAUGUCCUAUUUUGUCAAAUCCUCAAAUGUCCCCCUGCCUCACUCUCUCAAGUGCUGGGAUCACGGCCUUGAUUCCCCUAGCCCACAUAGUAUUCUGCAGCUGAGACUUAAGACUAGCUGUGGUUGGGGCUGGAGCGAUGAUUCAACGGUUAAGAGCACUGACUGCUCUUCCAGAGGUCCCGAGUUCAAUUCUCAGCAACCACAUGGUGGCUCAC